AGAGGAAGAGGAGCUUUUUCUUUGCAUCGGAAAAUUCAAAUUCAUCCACAGAAGGGUAGUGCAGACUCAACAGGAUCAUAUUCCUGACACACAAGCGUAUCAUGAGGACUCAAUAGGUCUAUAUACAUUAAAGGCUUAGUACACUGACUGACAAAUGGAUUGCUUUGUUUGUCAAGAAUCACUUGAUACGAGGUCAUGGCUAUCCUUGAUACAGUCCAU
rnacentral:lncRNA from 1 species